UGUUCCUACGGGGCGCAGCAGUGGGGAAUAUUGCACAAUGGGGGAAACCCUGAUGCAGCGACGCCGCGUGAGUGAAGAAGUAAGUCGUUAUGUAAAGUUCUAUCAGCAGGGAAGAAAAUGACGGUACCUGAGUAAGAAGCCCCGGCUAACUACGUGCCAGCAGCCGCGGUAAUACGUAGGGGGCAAGCGUUAUCCGGAUUUACUGGGGGUAAAGGGAGCGUAGACGGCAGUGCAAGUCUGGAGUGAAAGGCGGGGGCGCAACCCCCGGACUGCUCUGGAAACUGUAUGGCUGGAGUGCAG
rnacentral:rRNA from 1 species